rnacentral:rRNA from 1 species
AUUGAACGCUGGCGGCAGGCUUAACACAUGCAAGUCGAGCGGGGUGAUGGUGCUUGCACUAUCACUUAGCGGCGGACGGGUGAGUAAUGCUUAGGAAUCUGCCUAUUAGUGGGGGACAACAUCUCGAAAGGUAUGCUAAUACCGCAUACGUCCUUCGGGAGAAAGCAGGGGAUCACUUGUGACCUUGUGCUAAUAGAUGAGCCCUAGUCGGAUUAGCUAGUUGGUGGGGUAAAGGCCUACCAAGGCGACGAUCUGUAGCGGGUCUGAGAGGAUGAUCCGCCACACUGGGACUGAGACACGGCCCAGGCUCCUACGGGAGGCAGCAGUGGGGAAUAUUGGACAAUGGGGGGAACCCUGAUCCAGCCAUGCCGCGUGUGUGAAGAAGGCCUUAUGGUUGUAAAGCACUUUAAGCGAGGAGGAGGCUCUUUUGGUUAAUACCCAAGAUGAGUGGACGUUACUCGCAGAAUAAGCACCGGCUAACUCUGUGCCAGCCGCCGCAGUAA